AAACCCUUUUUAGUUACCUGUCAGACUAGA
rnacentral:piRNA from 1 species